GACGAACGCUGGCGGCGCGCCUAACACAUGCAAGUCGAACGGAGCUUAAAGAGCUUGCUUUUUAAGCUUAGUGGCGAACGGGUGAGUAACGCGUGAGUAACCUGCCCUAGAGUGGGGGACAACAGUUGGAAACGACUGCUAAUACCGCAUAAGCCCACGGUACCGCAUGGCACUGAGGGAAAAGGAUUUAUUCGCUUUAGGAUGGACUCGCGUCCAAUUAGCUAGUUGGUGAGGUAACGGCCCACCAAGGCGACGAUUGGUAGCCGGACUGAGAGGUUGAACGGCCACAUUGGGACUGAGACACGGCCCAGACUCCUACGGGAGGCAGCAGUGGGGGAUAUUGCACAAUGGGGGAAACCCUGAUGCAGCGACGCCGCGUGGAGGAAGAAGGUUUUCGGAUUGUAAACUCCUGUCGUUAGGGACGAUAAUGACGGUACCUAACAAGAAAGCAC
rnacentral:rRNA from 1 species